rnacentral:rRNA from 1 species
AUGGCAACCCUUCGAGUCGACGAAAUUCAUAAAAUUCUCCGCGAACAUAUUGAACAAUAUAAUAGGAAAGUAGGGAUUGAGAAUAUAGGUCGCGUAGUUCAAGUGGGGGAUGGGAUUGCUCGUAUUAUAGGUCUUGGUGAAAUAAUGUCAGGUGAAUUAAUCAAAUUUGCAGAAGGUACUAGGGGUAUUGCUCUGAAUUUGGAAUCCAAAAAUGUUGGGAUUGUAUUAAUGGGCGAUGGGUUGAUGAUACAAGAGGGAAGUUUUGUAAAAGCAACAGGAAGAAUUGCUCAGAUACCCGUGAGUGAGGCUUACUUGGGUCGUGUUGUAAAUGCUCUGGCUAAACCUAUUGAUGGGAAAGGCAAAAUUAUAGCUUCCCAAUCUCGCUUAAUUGAAUCUCCUGCUCCAAGUAUAAUUUCCAGGUGUUCCGUAUACGAACCUCUUCCAACAGGGCUUAUUGCUAUCGAUUCGAUGAUCCCUAUAGGGCGCGGUCAGCGAGAGUUAAUUAUUGGGGACAGACAGACUGGCAAAAUAGCAGUAGCCACAGAUACAAUUCUCAAUCAAAAAGGGCAAGGUGUAAUAUGUGUUUAUGUAGCUAUCGGUCAAAGAGCAUCCUCCGUAGCUCAAGUAGUAACUACUUUCCAUGAGGAGGGGGCUAUGGAAUACACUAUUGUAGUAGCUGAAAUGGCGGAUUCACCUGCUACAUUACAAUACCUCGCUCCUUAUACGGGAGCAGCCCUGGCUGAGUAUUUUAUGUACCGCGAACGGCAUACUUUAAUAAUUUAUGAUGAUCUCUCCAAACAGGCACAAGCUUAUCGCCAAAUGUCCCUUCUAUUAAGAAGACCUCCCGGCCGUGAGGCUUAUCCAAGGGAUGUUUUUUAUUUGCAUUCACGCCUUUUAGAAAGAGCCGCUAAAUUAAAUUCUCUUUUAGGCGAAGGAAGUAUGACCACUUUACCAAUAGUUGAGACUCAAUCUGGAGACGUUUCCGCCUAUAUUCCUACUAAUGUAAUCUCCAUUACAGAUGGACAAAUAUUCUUAUCUGCGGAUCUAUUCAAUGCCGGAAUUCGAUCCGCUAUUAAUGUGGGUAUUUCUGUUUCCAGAGUAGGAUCCGCGGCUCAAAUUAAACCCAUGAAACAAGUAGCUAGCAAAUCAAAAUUGGAACUAGCGCAAUUCGCAGAGUUACAAGCCUUUGCACAAUUCGCCUCUGCUCUCGAUAAAACAAGUCAGAAUCAAUUGGCAAGGGGUCAACGAUUAAGGGAAUUGCUUAAACAAUCCCAGGCAAAUCCUCUCCCAGUGGAAGAGCAGAUAGCUACUAUUUAUACCGGAACAAGAGGAUAUCUUGAUUCAUUAGAAAUUGAACAGGUAAAUAAAUUUCUGGAUGAGUUACGUAAACAUCUAAAAGAUACUAAACCUCAAUUCCAAGAAAUUAUAUCUUCUAGCAAGACAUUCACCAAGCAAGCGGAAAUCCUUUUGAAGGAAGCUAUUCAGGAACAGCUGGAACGGUUUUCUCUUCAGUAA